rnacentral:misc_RNA from 1 species
GAUGAAGAACGUAGUGAAAUGCGAUAAGUAAUGUGAAUUGCAGAAUUCAGUGAAUCAUCGAAUCUUUGAACGCACAUUGCGCCCGCUAGUAUUCUGGCGGGCAUGCCUGUCCGAGCGUCAUUUCAACCCUCAAGCCCCCGGGCUUGGUGUUGGGGAUCGGCGAGCCUCCGCGCCCGCCGUCCCCUAAAUCUAGUGGCGGUCUCGCUGUAGCUUCCUCUGCGUAGUAGCACACCUCGCAUUGGGAAACAGCGCGGCCACGCCGUUAAACCCCCAACUUCUGAACGUUUGACCUCGGAUCAGGUAGGAAUACCCGCUGAACUUAAGCAUAUCAAUAAGCGGAGGA